UGAACCUUGGGCCUGGCUGGCCGGUCCGCCUCACCGCGUGUACUGGUCCGGCCGGGCCUUUCCCUCUGUGGAACCCCAUGCCCUUCACUGGGCGUGGCGGGGAAACAGGACUUUUACUGUGAAAAAAUUAGAGUGCUCCAGGCAGGCCUAUGCUCGAAUACAUUAGCAUGGAAUAAUAGAAUAGGACGUGUGGUUCUAUUUUGUUGGUUUCUAGGACCGCCGUAAUGAUUAAUAGGGACAGUCGGGGGCAUCAGUAUUCAAUUGUCAGAGGUGAAAUUCUUGGAUUUAUUGAAGACUAACUACUGCGAAAGCAUUUGCCAAGGAUGUUUUCAUUAAUCAGGAACGAAAGUUAGGGGAUCGAAGACGAUCAGAUACCGUCGUAGUCUUAACCAUAAACUAUGCCGACUAGGGAUCGGACGGUGUUAUUUUUUGACCCGUUCGGCACCUUACGAGAAAUCAAAGUGCUUGGGCUCCAGGGGGAGUAUGGUCGCAAGGCUGAAACUUAAAGAAAUUGACGGAAGGGCACCACCAGGGGUGGAGCCUGCGGCUUAA
rnacentral:rRNA from 1 species